UACGUAGGGUGCGAGCGUUAAUCGGAAUUACUGGGCGUAAAGCGUGCGUAGGCGGCUAUGUAAGACAGAUGUGAAAUCCCCGGGCUCAACCUGGGAACUGCAUUUGUGACUGCAUGGCUAGAGUACGGUAGAGGGGGAUGGAAUUCCGCGUGUAGCAGUGAAAUGCGUAGAUAUGCGGAGGAACACCGAUGGCGAAGGCAAUCCCCUGGACCUGUACUGACGCUCAUGCACGAAAGCGUGGGGAGCAAACAGG
rnacentral:rRNA from 1 species